AGCUCCAAUAGCGUAUAUUAAAGUUGUUGCAGUUAAAAAGCUCGUAGUUGGAUUUCUGGCUUUUAUUUGCGCCGGUCCACCGCAAGGUGAGCACUGGUGCAGGAAGUCAUCCUCUUGGUUUUGGCUUGUGGCAUUAACUUGUUGCAGGUCGAGAGCAGGACCUUUACUUUGAAAAAAUUAGAGUGUUCAAAGCAGGCGAUUGCUUGAAUACAUUAGCAUGGAAUAAUGGAAUAGGACUUUGGUUCUAUUUUGUUGGUUUCUAGGACCGAAGUAAUGAUUAAUAGGGACAGUUGGGGGCAUUAGUAUUUAAUUGUCAGAGGUGAAAUUCUUGGAUUUAUGAAAGACUAACUACUGCGAAAGCAUUUGCCAAGGAUGUUUUCAUUAAUCAAGAACGAAAGUA
rnacentral:rRNA from 1 species